CAGGCCUAACACAUGCAAGUCGAGGGGCAGCAGGACUGUAGCAAUACAGUUGCUGGCGACCGGCAAACGGGUGCGGAACACGUACAGAACCUUCCUUCGAGUGGGAGAUAGCCCAGGGAAACUUGGAGUAAUACCCCAUAGGAUAGUAGAGUGGCAUCACUUAGCUAUUAAAGAUUCAUCGCUCGAAGAUGGCUGUGCGGCUGAUUAGGUAGUUGGCGGGGUAAUGGCCCACCAAGCCUUCGAUCAGUAACUGGUGUGAGAGCACGACCAGUCACACGGGCACUGAGACACGGGCCCGACUCCUACGGGAGGCAGCAGUAAGGAAUAUUGGGCAAUGGAGGCAACUCUGACCCAGCCAUGCCGCGUGGAGGAUGAAGGUCCUCUGGAUUGUAAACUUCUUUUAUUUGGGAAGAAAUGCCGACUUUCUAGUUGGUUGACGGUACCAGAGAAUAAGCACCGGCAACUCUG
rnacentral:rRNA from 1 species